UGCAGAGGUCCCAAGCGUUGUUCGGAUUCACUGGGCGUAAAGGGUGCGUAGGCGGUCGGGUAAGUCUGAUGUGAAAUCUCCAAGCCUAACUUGGAAACUGCAUUGGAUACUAUCCGGCUAGAGGAAUGGAGGGGAGACUGGAAUACUUGGUGUAGCAGUGAAAUGCGUAGAUAUCAAGUGGAACACCAGUGGCGAAGGCGAGUCUCUGGACAUUUCCUGACGCUGGGGCACGAAAGCCAGGGGAGCAAACGGG
rnacentral:rRNA from 1 species